rfam:Anaerosporobacter mobilis DSM 15930 genome assembly, contig: EJ17DRAFT_scaffold00013.13
UAGCGUAGUCAGCGCUAGUACUUCUUAGUGUGUACUCUACACCCUAGGAAGGCGAGGCAUGGACGCCGAGCCAACAUUCGCUGAGGCAGGAUGCCGAAUCGAAUGUUGUUCCGAACCUUUUAUUAAACUACGCGUACUCACUUAGAAGUACUCAGAUGCGUAGCGU